GUCCAACUUUAAAACUUUAACUUUGAGCGGAGCUUUCCUUUAAAUAUCUUUAUAAUUUUUGUACUAAACUUGCACAAAAUUGUGUUUCCAGGAGCACUAUUAAGGAGUAGAAGAAGAGUUACGGUUUCCAAUAAGAUCCUAGAAUGCAUGUGACCCAUGAUGGUUGAUUCGUGCAUUGACAGUUGAUAAUUGAGGUAUUGGUGUACCCCCAAGUUCGAGGAUGACGUUGGACCUCUUCAUAUUUCAGUUUAUGCCAUUAUUUUCUAUU